GGGCGGAGGAGAAAAGGGAACACGAUGGUUCCAUUGAUUGAGCAUCCAUACGGAGUAAAUAAUUAUGGAGAUACCAACGAAUGCUUGAAGAAAAUUGAAGAGUUUGAGCAGGAAUACCAACGAUAUAUGACACGUCGCAUUUGUGGUGAAAUUGAAACCCUAAACCCAAAUCCCAACAGCUACAGAAAAGCAAGGAGGAUCGAAGCGCGUACACAGAGAAAGAGAGAGAGAGAGAGAGAGAGA
rnacentral:misc_RNA from 1 species